CUGAUAGUCAUCAGCUGCUGGCCCCAAGUCUCCUUACUGUGGAGGCAACAGGCUAGCACUCUCCCAAGAGAUCAGAGAUGCAGAGCUUUGAGACAGAGAAGGGGAAGGCAUGGGUCCCAACUCCUCCUCCCCACAAAGAGGAAGGGCAAUUUCUCAGCCAAGCUGUGAGUGGAGGGCACGGACCCCCACCAUCCCUUCCACCUCUCAAGUGCCUCAGAGGAUCAGCAUUCUUCCCUGUACUCACCAAGAGACAGUAUCUACUCAGGGAUUAUCAGCCCAAGAAGAGAUACUGUGCUCCCUGCCCAAGCUGAAGAUACCUGCUUCCGGGAGAGAGGAAAAAAAAAUGCAAACAGGGAAACCGGCAGAUUGAAGGAGACUUAGAGUGUCACCCGUCACACUCAGCACCCUCAGAUUCGGAGUGAAUCAGCACUCGGGAGACACCGAGGAACAGAACCAACCUGUGGCUGACGAUGUUAGGAUUUGUGACUGUCUGAAAACCCAUUAUCAUGUCUAAAAAUACAAGUCUUUAUUUUUAGACAUACACAUGGAGGCAUUUGCAGUAGAUGUCACAUGACUUGGUUGUUUCUGAGGGAUACAGAGGAAGGAAGACUCAUGAGAAGGAGAAAUGCAGAAAGGAGAAGACUGGCCCUGUGUCAAGCUCUACACCAGGACCAGGAUGCCUGAGGGUCUGUGAUAGCAUUCUGCAUGCUUGAAAUUAUAUGUAAUAAAGUGUUUCAAAUAUGC
rnacentral:lncRNA from 1 species